rnacentral:tRNA from 1 species
UCGAUGCGCUCGUCGGCGGCCACGGCCGCAUCGAAGGCGGCCUGGCGGGCGUCGGUGCCCGCGGCGGCGUCCGAGGCGUCGUGCGCCGGG